rnacentral:rRNA from 1 species
UACGAAGGGGGCUAGCGUUGCUCGGAAUCACUGGGCGUAAAGGGUGCGUAGGCGGGUCUUUAAGUCAGGGGUGAAAUCCUGGAGCUCAACUCCAGAACUGCCUUUGAUACUGAAGAUCUUGAGUUCGGGAGAGGUGAGUGGAACUGCGAGUGUAGAGGUGAAAUUCGUAGAUAUUCGCAAGAACACCAGUGGCGAAGGCGGCUCACUGGUCCAUUACUGACGCUGAGGUGCGAAAGCGUGGGGAGCA